GACGAACGCUGGCGGCGUGCCUAAUACAUGCAAGUCGAGCGAGUCUGCCUUGAAGAUCGGAGUGCUUGCACUCUGUGAAACAAGAUACAGGCUAGCGGCGGACGGGUGAGUAACACGUGGGUAACCUGCCCAAGAGAUCGGGAUAACACCUGGAAACAGAUGCUAAUACCGGAUAACAACAGAUGAUGCCUAUCAACUGUUUAAAAGAUGGUUCUGCUAUCACUCUUGGAUGGACCUGCGGUGCAUUAGCUAGUUGGUAGGGUAACGGCCUACCAAGGCGAUGAUGCGUAGCCGGGUUGAGAGAAUGAUCAGCCACAUUGGAACUGAGACACGGCCCAGACUCCUACGGGAGGCAGCAGUAGGGAAUCUUCGACAAUGGACGCAAGUCUGAUGGAGCAACGCCGCGUGAGUGAAGAAGGGUUUCGGCUCGUAAAGCUCUGUUGUUGGUGAAGAAGGACAGGGGUAGUAACUGACCUUUGUUUGACGGUAAUCAAUGAGAAAGUCACGGCUAACUACGUG
rnacentral:rRNA from 1 species